rnacentral:rRNA from 1 species
AUUGAACGCUGGCGGCAGGCCUAACACAUGCAAGUCGAGCGGAUGAAGGGAGCUUGCUCCUGGAUUCAGCGGCGGACGGGUGAGUAAUGCCUAGGAAUCUGCCUGGUAGUGGGGGAUAACGUCCGGAAACGGGCGCUAAUACCGCAUACGUCCUGAGGGAGAAAGUGGGGGAUCUUCGGACCCCACGCUAUCAGAUGAGCCUAGGUCGGAUUAGCUAGUUGGUGGGGUAAAGGCCUACCAAGGCGACGAUCCGUAACUGGUCUGAGAAGAUGAUCAGUCACACUGGAACUGAGACACGGUCCAGACUCCUACGGGAGGCAGCAGUGGGGAAUAUUGGAAAAUGGGCGAAAGCCUGAUCCAGCCAUGCCGCGUGUGUGAAGAAGGUCUUCGGAUUGUAAAGCACUUUAAGUUGGGAGGAAGGGCAGUAAGUUAAUACCUUGCUGUUUUGACGUUACUAACAGAAUAAGCACCGGCUAACUUCGUG